CAACCCCUAGAUGGCGAUGAGAUUACUUUCCCUCCCUAUACAUAUUUGCGAGUCAGGUCAAUUAUGUGUUGCAAACUUCCAAACGAAUUGUUUUCAGACUAGUAGUCAUUGGGGUAUUGUUUAGCCCCGUUAUCUAGCAAUCAAGCAGUUUAGUGUUUUGCCACCGUGUCAACAGAAUAUCUGCAAAAUCCGUUUUCAUGUGUAGAUUCCGUGAUUCUGACCGCGUUUUCUGCAUCGCGGAAAUCAUAGGGCCCUACAUGCAGCAUUAUUUCUCCAAAUAAUUAGAAUACAUAAUAGGAAGAAAUGAUGUGGGUUUGCAUUCAAUGCAACACCACAGAUAGUAGCUAUAUUAAUCUUUCCUUUUAGAGGAAGUUAGAAGGUCUUACACUCCCAUACAGAAAAAUCAAGGGAAAAAAUGUAUUCACAUAUAUGCAGCUACAUCCAGCUUAUAUUUAAAUAGAUGGCUACAAUAUAUUUAAUACAUAUAUAGUACAAGAAUGUAUAUAUGCAAGUAUACGUGGGACCCAGCAAUGUAACAUAUAUGUGGAUAUCGUACAUGAACAUAUAUGGUUAAUAUAUUCAAUUCACUUAUUUGCACACAGGCAGUGAUGGGUGGGGUUUACAAAAAACCUUCAACUUCAAAAUGCGUCACUACCAACGUACUCUAAGGUCGUUGGAAUAACGGUUAAAAUGUUUGCAGCUUUUUCACUACAUAAGCAUAACUAACAGCUACUACUAGUCCAAAUGUAAAACGUUUGCUCUGGUUAAGUGGAUUGGCGGGAGUAUGAGGGCAAAACCAGUAUUUUGCCGACUGACUGCAUUAGUAGACCUAACGUUAAUGAGAGACUUUUUCAACGGCUCUGGAUGGGACAACAUCUUGCUAGAAACAAACGUUAUGUGGUGGAGGGGAGGAAGGCUCUUGGCCGGUUUUCGAGGCCAUGGUGGUCAAAAUUGCUGGUAAGUAGAUCUUCAUUGUAUGCUGAAUUGCUUUCAUAUAACAUUUGCAGAAGUUAAUGUCCGAAUUAACAAUGGUAUUAUUGGUGGAAGCUGGAAGCUAACCUUUGCUACUUUCUGUAACAUUAACGUUAGCAUAAAUUAGCCAGCGCUAGCUUUAUUAUUUUACACCUGAAAGGGGAUUGAAAAAUAAAUUCACUGAGAAACGUUUGGACAAUUAAUGAAAACGACUUGUAAUGACAGUGAAAUACCAAUUUAACCUGUCUCCCUCCAUAUUUGGUAGUAUAUUUGCCUCUGGCAUGGAGAUUGAUAGCUAGGCAUAAAUAGAAGCUAACUUAUGAUUUGUCAUGCAAGACAGAAAAUGUAACGGUUAACAUUACUAGCCUAAGGUGUAGACAUUCUAUGCACUGUGGUUUAGCUAGCUAGCUGCUAUUGUUGCAUCAUGGACAACACUUAGAGCUAACAUUAGCUUUUAAAAAUAUAUUUUUUAGAUAGGAUGUAAUGUGGUAUGUGCUGGAGAGUAUUAGAGUGGACGUGUAGAAAUUGAAGACACAAGUACUGUGCUUAAUUUCAUGGAAAUGUCAUUGGAAGUAAUGUGUUUUGUUUUUGUGCACUAUCAAACUACUUUGUCAUGCUUUGUGCACUGAUAUUCUUGCAAAACCAUUCAUACCCAUGCUAAAUUAUGGAAAUGUAAAAGUUUAAUUGUAUUGAAAAGGACCAUGUAUGGUCAUGUAGUAUAUUUGAACACUGAAACCCCUUUUUUUACAUUUUAGAGAGGGAGGCAACACUCGAAAGCUACAUCAAGGACACCGGAGGAAGGACCAGAGACCAAGACGACCCAAGCCCAACCCGUAGUAUGCUUCACUGACAAAUGUUGAUGUUGAUGCUUAAUCAUCACAUAGACCAAAGGUUUCAGAGAAGGCUGGUAGAGCUCUCUAUGAGUGUGAGCUGUGGGAGAUAACCCAGAACUGACAACCACCUAAAGAAGAGGUGGCGAUAAUGGCUCUCCAAGAGGAGGUUGUGAGUCUGAAGGCUUUUAUUCAACAAGGAGGCACUUAGAGGAAAUGCCUGGACCCUGAGAGGACUAAGACGAUAAUUGAGGCCACCCUGAAGCAGUUCCCAGGCCAGACACUCACUCCAGAUUGCUGGGCCAGGCAAUAAAUGACAAAGUGACAGAACUGAGGUUCCA